GACGAACGCUGGCGGCGUGCUUAACACAUGCAAGUCGAACGGAAAGGCCCUGCUUUUGUGGGGUGCUCGAGUGGCGAACGGGUGAGUAACACGUGAGUAACCUGCCCUUGACUUUGGGAUAACUUCAGGAAACUGGGGCUAAUACCGGAUAGGAGCUCCUGCUGCAUGGUGGGGGUUGGAAAGUUUCGGCGGUUGGGGAUGGACUCGCGGCUUAUCAGCUUGUUGGUGGGGUAGUGGCUUACCAAGGCUUUGACGGGUAGCCGGCCUGAGAGGGUGACCGGCCACAAUGGGACUGAGAUACGGCCCAGACUCCUACGGGAGGCAGCAGUGGGGAAUAUUGCACAAUGGGCGGAAGCCUGAUGCAGCAACGCCGCGUGCGGGAUGACGGCCUUCGGGUUGUAAACCGCUUUCGCCUGUGACGAAGCGUGAGUGACGGUAAUGGGUAAAGAAGCACCGGCUAACUACGCG
rnacentral:rRNA from 1 species